rnacentral:rRNA from 1 species
AUUGAACGCUGUCGGCAGGCCUAACACAUGCAAGUCGAACGAGUGGCGGACGGGUGAGUAAUGUCUGGGAAACUGCCCGAUGGAGGGGGAUAACUACUGGAAACGGUAGCUAAUACCGCAUACCAUCGGAUGUGCCCAGAUGGGAUUAGCUAGUAGGUGGGGUAAAGGCUAACCACGGCGACGAUCCCUAGCUGGUCUGAGAGGAUGACCAGCCACACUGGAACUCAGACACGGUCCAGACUCCUACGGGAGGCAGCAGUGGGGAAGAUUGCACAAUGGGCGAAAGCCUGAUACAGCCAUGCCGCGUGUAUGAAGAAGGCCUUCGGGUUGUAAAGUACUUUCAACGGGGAGGCGUUACCCGCAGAAGAAGCACCGGCGAACUCCGUGCCAGCAGCCGCGGUAAUAC